GACGAACGCUGGCGGCGUGCUUAACACAUGCAAGUCGAACGAUGAAGAAGAGAAACGCGAACUUCGGUUCAAAUUUCACUUCGGAUUAGUGGCAGACGGGUGAGUAACGCGUGAGCAACCUACCUCUUACAAAGGGAUAGCCUCGGGAAACCGUGAUUAAUACCAUAUGACACAUUCAUAAGGCAUCUUAAGAAUGUUAAAGCUACGGCGGUAAGAAAUGGGCUCGCGUCCCAUUAGCUAGUUGGUGAGGUAACGGCCCACCAAGGCGACGAUGGGUAACCGGCCUGAGAGGGUGAACGGUCACAUUGGAACUGAGACACGGUCCAAACUCCUACGGGAGGCAGCAGUGGGGAAUAUUGCACAAUGGAGGGAACUCUGAUGCAGCGACGCCGCGUGAGCGAUGAAGGAAUUCGUUUCGUAAAGCUCUGUUCUAUGGGAAGAAAAGGACUGUACCAUAGGAGAAAGCCCCGGCUAAAUACGUG
rnacentral:rRNA from 1 species